rnacentral:rRNA from 1 species
UACAGAGGUCUCAAGCGUUGUUCGGAUUCAUUGGGCGUAAAGGGUGCGUAGGUGGCGUCGUAAGUCGGGUGUGAAAUUUCGGAGCUUAACUCCGAAACUGCAUUCGAUACUGCGGUGCUUGAGGACUGGAGAGGAGACUGGAAUUUACGGUGUAGCAGUGAAAUGCGUAGAUAUCGUAAGGAAGACCAGUGGCGAAGGCGGGUCUCUGGACAGUUCCUGACACUGAGAACACGGAAGGCCAGGGGAGCAAACGGG